rnacentral:rRNA from 1 species
GAUGAACGCUAGCGAUAGGCUUAACACAUGCAAGUCGAGGGGCAGCAUGGUCUUAGCUUGCUAAGACUGAUGGCGACCGGCGCACGGGUGCGUAACGCGUAUGCAACUUGCCUCACAGAGGGGGAUAACCCGUCGAAAGACGGACUAAUACCGCGUACACUCCAUCUUGGGCAUCCAAGGUAGAGGAAAUGAAAUUCGCUGUGAGAUAGGCAUGCGUCCCAUUAGCUAGUUGGUGAGGUAACGGCUCACCAAGGCGACGAUGGGUAGGGGAACUGAGAGGUUGAACCCCCACGCUGGUACUGAGACACGGACCAGACUCCUACGGGAGGCAGCAGUGAGGAAUAUUGGUCAAUGGGCGAGAGCCUGAACCAGCCAAGUCGCGUGAAGGAUGACUGUCUUAUGGAUUGUAAACUUCUUUUAUACGGGAAUAACAAGAGUCACGUGUGACUCCCUGCAUGUACCGUAUGAAUAAGCAUCGGCUAACUCCGUG